rnacentral:rRNA from 1 species
UACAGAGGGUGCGAGCGUUAAUCGGAAUUACUGGGCGUAAAGCGCGCGUAGGUGGUUCGUUAAGUUGGAUGUGAAAUCCCCGGGCUCAACCUGGGAACUGCAUUCAAACUGUCGAGCUAGAGUAUGGUAGAGGGUGGUGGAAUUUCCUGUGUAGCGGUGAAAUGCGUAGAUAUAGGAAGGAACACCAGUGGCGAAGGCGACCGACCUGGACUGAUACUGACACUGAGGUGCGAAAGCGUGGGGAGCAAACAGG